UUAAUUCAAAUUUGUAUGCAGUUGGAACAGCGCCCCUAGCGGCAAACGUACGCUAACGUUCCAACUCUAUACAAAUUUGAAUUA
rnacentral:pre_miRNA from 1 species